rnacentral:lncRNA from 1 species
GAUGCGUUCUGUUAAAAGAUUUCUUUUUAAGGCCCCUAUUCUGACCCCUCGGCAACUGUUCCUACAACCUGCCUGGUGUGUGCCUAGCUGCCUUGGCCUUGGGGAAGCACGGGGCAAGACAGCAAGGCCUUGCUGAUGGGGUCGGGCUGCUGCAGGCUUGGGCAAAAUGUAGCUGGGACAGCGGUCCCUUUAAUUUCAUACUCCAGUCACACAUUCCUGGCAUUUUUGAAAAUCCCAGGAAGAGGAGAGUUCCCCGUGUGGAUCCCAGCCCCACUCCCUACUCUGCCAAUGCAACUGUUUGAGGAAGGGAGAGAAAGGGGAGGUUGCAAGAGUAAUUCAAACCCAGUGCAUUUGAUUUCUGAUCAUUUUAGAAAUGCUGAAGGAAGAGAACUUGUGGCAAAGAAAUCAAAGGGACUUGGAUUAAUUAAAAUAAUACAUCAAAACUGGGGAUUGUACAGAACAUGUCUGGAUAUGAGGGAAGA